CACACCGCCCGUCACAUCACGAAAGUGGGUUGUACUAGAAGUCCGCGCGCUAACCCGCAAGGGGGGGCAGCGGCCCAAGGUAUGACUCAUGAUUGGGGUG
rnacentral:rRNA from 1 species